rnacentral:rRNA from 1 species
AUGUAUGAUGAUCAAGCAACUGAACUGGAAGCCUUGGAGGGCUUACUGAGUGAUCCAAGUGCAGAGCCCAUCAAGCUAUCAUAUGGACUUUUGAAAUUCAUAACAGGAAAUUUUUCUAAUGAAAUUGGUCGUGGUGGGUUUGGAGUUGUUUACCAGGGAACUUUGCAAAAUGGGGAAGUUGCUGUGAAGAAGAUCUCCAGUGUGCAUGAGUUUUCUGAUAAGGUAUUCAUGGAUGAGAUCAUGUGUUUAAAAAGGGCAAAGCACAAGAAUAUAGUAAGAUUUCUAGGAUACUGUUCAGAAAGUCAGGGGGAAGUGAUGGAAUACAAGGGAACCUAUGUGAUGGCAGAGGUACAGAAAAGGUUACUUUGUUUUGAGUAUGUUCCAAAAGGAAACAUUCAGGACUAUCUUGAAGAGAAACUGGAUGAAAAUGACUGGCUUAUAAGGUACCAAAUAAUAAAGGGAAUCUGUGAGGGUCUGCAUUACCUUCACGAAGAACGUAUCAGCCAUCUAGACCUCAAACCUGAGAAUGUUAUGUUGGAUGCUUUCAUGGAGCCAAAAAUUACGGACUUUGGCUUGGCAAGAUGUUUAGUUGAGGGACAGUCCAAAGUUUAUACUAAGAUUAUCCGGGGAACACCGGGAUAUAUUGCACCAGAAAACAUAAACACGGGAGAAAUAUCAUUGAAGUCAGACAUAUAUGCAUUGGGCAUUAUUAUCAUUAAACUACUUACUGGGCAGAAUGUCAUUGAUUUUGAUAAUUGGUAUGAAUCAAUAGGCUUGGACAGCCCACAAGUGAGGGGUUGCAUCGAAAUAGCUCGAGAUUGUAUCAAAGUUGACCAAGAUAAAAGACCUACUAUUGGUGAAAUAAUUCGUGAGCUGCACAAGAUAGAUAGCAUGAUGACAUAUGACACAGGGUCGUCCACACCCCAGGUAUGA